rnacentral:rRNA from 1 species
CAGCAGCCGCGGUAAUACGUAGGGUGCGAGCGUUAAUCGGAAUUACUGGGCGUAAAGNGUGCGUAGGCGGCUUGUUAAGUCANAUGUGAAAGCCCUGGGCUCAACCUGGGAACUGCNUUUGAAACUGGCGAGCUAGAGUUGAGUAGAGGUAAGUGGAAUUUCAGGUGUAGCGGUGAAAUGCGUAGAUAUCUGAAGGAACACCAGUGGCGAAGGCGACUCUCUGGACUAAAACUGACGCUGAGGUACGAAAGCGUGGGUAGCAAACAGGAUUAGAUACCCUGGUAGUCCACGCCGUAAACGAUGUCAACUAGCCGUUGGUCUUAUUUAUAAGAUUAGUGGCGCAGCUAACGCAUUAAGUUGACCGCCUGGGGAGUACGGCCGCAAGGUUAAAACUCAAAGGAAUUGACGG